rnacentral:lncRNA from 1 species
GUUAGCGCCGUUCCCCUUGUCGGGUCGCCAUCUUUUGUUUCCCGAAGGAAGAAAACAAAGCGAGGAAAGUUUGCGGUAGGGAGCACGACCGUGGCUACCAAGACGGCUGACGGCGCAGUACCCGAGGCGUUUGGCGGGCCCAAUAGUAAACGAACAUAACGGGAUGAUCUGUGGACUGCCCACGAGUACGCACUCAGCAUUGAUGGCAGGCUCAUGGUUCAGAAGAUACCAGACGUCCCUACGGCAGAGGCUGCGCACUCUUUGCGAGUCACUAUUGCUUUAACAUCUGCUACGCUGAAGGCCUGUCAUCGACCCUUGAGUUCCUUCAGAGAGGUUUCCUGAGCAUGAACCCUGACCGUGGCACCAGAGCCAAGCGCUCCAAGUCAGAAGUGAGCAAGAAAGUACUUAACCUGGUCAAGAAAAUAGCAGAGCUGGAGUGGAAUGUGUGAGGCUGUUGGUCAUCCUAUGUGGGAACGAGGCAUGCAACAUGGAGCUCGAGCUCAUUCAACACAAGGUCUUGGCACCAGGAAGAUUUCAGCAGCCAUAAGCAAUGGCACUUGGGUCUAAAUUUGAUCAGGGUAUAUGGACCUGGGUCCUCAUCAUCCAAGUAAAUAAAUGUUCUGUUUUUAUUUCUAUCCUACACAUAAUUUAUGCUGUGUUCUGGCUUAAUUGCAUUUGCCUGUACAUACACAACGAUCGCAUUGCAGACAUGAAGACCACGCUACAAUUACAAUAAACAGCAUGCCACAUAUAUUACAG